UACGUAGGGAGCAAGCGUUGUUCGGAUUUACUGGGCGUAAAGGGCGCGUAGGCGGUGCUGUAAGUCAGCUGUGAAAUCUCCGAGCUUAACUCGGAACGGCCAGCUGAUACUGCAGUGCUAGAGUGCAGAAGGGGCAAUCGGAAUUCUUGGUGUAGCGGUGAAAUGCGUAGAUAUCAAGAGGAACACCUGAGGUGAAGACGGGUUGCUGGGCUGACACUGACGCUGAGGCGCGAAAGCCAGGGGAGCAAACGGG
rnacentral:rRNA from 1 species